AGCAUACAACAAAGCCAAACCGGGAAACAUAAAACCGGAGAGAAAGUGGAGAAAACCCCAAUCGAAGCAAAUUUCCAGCAAAUCUGAGAAGAAUUGAGUUAGAUUCUCGCAAGUUACGAAUGGUUGUGUGAUUGUGUCGAUGGAGGAAAGGAUUGAGGCGACGGAUCUGAAGCUCUGUCGAUGAGUUCAUAGCCGAAUAGACGAGUCAACUCUGUGCUUGGGGAUACCAAAACCACACUCUUCCACAAGGUGUACUGUGGUAUUGCAAGUGCAUUAACUGGAUUUAACCAUGAAUGAAACACAAAAGAAAGCUGCACCAUAUGAAACAAAACAAUUCAACACUACUUGUCUCAAGCCAAGCACCGGUUGCCACCAUUUCAAAGGGUUUUCAGGUUUGGGACCAACAAUACAAAGCCUGGAGAAGCCGAGCAACAAAACAGGAAAAACUAAUAUACAAAGUUUUUUAAACUGCUACUUGUAGUGAAUACGAUGAGAUAGAGAAAGUAAGCAACGAAGCAUCAUAGCGACAUACUGUAUGUCUCUUCAAUGAUUUCUGGUAAUCAAAAACUAUGCUAAUGUGAGUAUGUGAGUAUCUGAUCUCUCUGUCAAUGUAUCUUCAAUGCCUUGACUCCGGGUAUGUCCAUGCGUUUAUUGUGGUGGUUGUUUCUCCUAAUUCGCUGCUGAUUCAUUGCUCUCUCACUUGCUCCUGAUGCUGCAGGCCCACUGCUACUGGUUGAUUGACAAGGGGUGGUGGUUGGUCCACGUCCUGGUUCUGUAGGUCCGCUGCUUCUCGUUCAUUGACAACUAUCAUUUGCGCGUUCCUAACUCGCCGUCUCUUAGGGGGUGAUGGUUGGUCCACCUUCUGAUCCCGCAUCAUUUGGUCAUUCCCAACUCGCUGUCUCAUGAGUGGUGGUGGUCCAAAUCCAUGUCCAGCAGUCAUGAGUGCGAGCAUCUGGUCUGUAUUACUCUUAAUCUGAGCCAUAAUAGUCAAAAGCUCCCUCCAAAUAUCAGCUGCUAAAAGAAGUCAAAGACAAACAAAAAAAAAAAAAAGAAAGAGGACAAGGUUUGAGAUUCAGGAAGGCAAAAAGAGAGAAACAGAGGGACAAGAGAGUAGACUAAUUACUGGGAUAAAGUGGCUGUCCGGUUUGACUUGGAAUCUGCUGAUAAGGGAUUAGGGCAUGACCAGCAUUAGGAGGCACUCGUGAUGAUGAUGCAUCUCUCUGGGCACGUGGAGUAGUCCCCAUAACUAACAGAAGCAAAGACAAUGUCAACAAACAGAUUCUUCAAGUUGUAUUAGGUACACACAGUGAUAAACUCAAGGAACAAGUAGAAGUUUAUUUACAGCGAGAAGCAGUAGAAAGAAGCUGUUGCUGUUGCUGUUGCUGUUGCCGUUGCUGUUGCUGUCUCCUCCACCAAAGUGAAGGUUUUGUAGUGUCCAUUCCUGGCGUCGAAGCUGUUAGCAUAUUCCUUUGUUAUAUUAGUAAAGAUUUGUGAUAAUCUAAGAAACAGAGGGAAAAGUGAGUUGAUUUAUUACUGGGAGAAAUUGGCCGUGGGGCAACACCA